CAAGUCGAGCGAUUACAUCGGUAAAGAGCGGCGGACGGGUGGAGUAACGCGGUGGGUAACCUGCCUCAUACACAUGGAUAACAUACCGAAAGGUAAUGCUAAUACAGGAUAAUAUAAGAGAUUCACAUGGAUUUUUUAUUCAAAGACUCCGGCGGUAUGAGAUGGACCCGCGUCUGAUUAGCUAGUUGGUAAGGUAAUGGCUUACCAAGGCGACGAUCAGUAGCCGACCUGAGAGGGUGAUCGGCCACAUUGGAACUGAGACACGGUCCAAACUCCUACGGGAGGCAGCAGUGGGGAAUAUUGCACAAUGGGCGAAAGCCUGAUGCAAGCAACGCCGCGUGAGUGAUGAAGGCCUUCGGGUCGUAAAACUCUGUCCUCAAGGAAGAUAAUGACGGUACUUGAGGAGGAAGCCCCGGCUAACUACGUGCCAGCAGCAGC
rnacentral:rRNA from 1 species